rnacentral:rRNA from 1 species
AUGGCGAGUAAUAUGCAGACUCCUGGUCCGCCUCAGCCCCCCCGGCCUCCUAUGAUGGGUUCUACCGCACCACAAAAUAUGGGACAACCAAUGCCCAUGCAGUGGCCACCUGGUCCGCCACAACAGCCUCCUCAGUUCAUGCAACCAGCGCCACAACAGUAUCGGCCUGUUGGUCAGGCCAUGCCAGGAGUUAACAUGGGCAUGCCAGGGCAGAUGCAACAUUUUCAGCAACCUGGGCCACAUAUGCCUCACUCUGGUCAUGUUCCGCCUGCAUCGCAAGCUGUUCCUAUGCCGUACCAGGCAGCCAGACCUAUGUCAUCAGCUCCUAUGCAGCCACAGCAGCAAGCUGUAUUCCCUGGUGGACUUAUGCCCACCAUGGGCACCCCUAUGCCGCCUCCUUCUUAUACCUAUCAACCAACAUCGGUUCCUCCUGGAUCUCAACCCUGGGGCACAGUCCCGGGUCAGGGCGCACCUCUUGUGUCGCCGAUGGUGCAGCCUGGGCAUCAGUCUCUCUCAGCUUCAGUGCCCCCAUUAGCAAAUGUGCAGGUGAGCUCAACUGAACCUAGCUCUGCGGAUUGGCAAGAGCACAGUUCAGGGGAUGGAAAGAAGUACUAUUACAAUAAGAGGACAAAGCAAUCAAGUUGGGAGAAACCUGCUGAGUUGAUGACCCCUUUGGAGCGGGCUGACGCUUCAACUGAAUGGAAAGAAUUUACUACAGCAGAAGGGCGGAAGUACUAUUACAACAAAGUGACAAAGCAAUCCAAAUGGUCUAUUCCUGACGAGCUAAGGAUUGCACGUGAAUUAGCAGAAAAGACAUCAAAUCAGCAGCCUGCCCGGGAGACUGAAUCCACUACUGUUGCCCCUGUUGGAUCCACUUCUGUUUCUGUGGAGCCUUCCUUACCUGCCAAACAGUCUUCAUCUUUAGUAGGAACAAUUGCUCCAAGCUCCCAUGAUGCGAUAGCAAACUUGCCUCCUCCUGGUGCUGGCCCGUCGUACAAUGGGGUUAUAUCUUCUUCUAGUUCCAUGCAAAACGGUGGAACAAGUGCUGCUGUGGUUGCCCCUGUUACAACGAGCACUGGAGAUCCAUCGGUUGCAAGUGAUGCAGGGACAAACAGAAGCACUUAUGGAAGUUCAUCUGUACCUAGUACUACUGACACAAAAGUUGGAGCAUCUGCCGAAGAUUUGGAGGAGGCCAAAAAGACGAUGCCAACUGCAGGGAAGAUCAAUGUUACUCCGCUGGAGGAUAAAACAAGUGAAGAAGAACCUGUUGUUUAUGCUACUAAGUUGGAAGCAAAGAAUGCAUUUAAGUCCCUGCUUGAAUCGGCAAAUGUUCAGUCAGAUUGGUCAUGGGAUCAGGCUAUGAGAGUUAUUAUAAGUGACAAAAGAUAUGGUGCCCUGAAAACUCUUGGAGAGAGAAAGCAAGCUUUCAAUGAGUACUUAAACCAGCGGAAAAAGAUUGAAGUUGAGGAGAGGCGUGUCAAGCAAAGGAAAGCACGUGAUGAUUUUCUCACAAUGCUGGAAGAAUGUAAGGACCUUACAUCAUCACUGAGAUGGAGCAAAGCAAUUACUAUGUUUGGGCAUGAUGAAAGGUUCAAUGCUGUUGAACGCCCCAAGGAGCGUGAAGAUUUAUUUGAGAACUAUCUCGUGGAGCUACAAAAGAAGGAAAAAGCAAAGGCUGCUGAAGAGCACAAAAGACGAAUAGCAGAAUAUAGAGAAUUUCUUGAGUCAUGUGAUUUCAUCAAGGCAAACACCCAGUGGCGAAAAGUUCAAGAUCGGCUAGAGGAUGAUGAACGCUAUGCUCGACUUGAGAAGAUUGACCGCUUGGAUGUUUUUCAAGACUAUAUAAGGCAUCUUGAAAAAGAAGAGGAAGAACAGAAGAGAAUUCGGAAGGAGCAAUUAAGGAGACAAGAACGGAAAAACCGCGAUGAGUUUCGGAAGAUGAUGGAAGAACAUGUUGCUGAUGGCACACUUAACGCAAAAACUUACUGGCGUGACUACUGUUCACAGAUAAAAGAUUCACGUGCUUACCUGGCAGUUGCUUCAAACUUGUCUGGCUCGAUGCCAAAAGAACUCUUUGAUGAUGUCAUGGAGGAGCUUGAUAAGCAGUAUCAAGAUGAUAGGGCUUUAAUUAAAGAUGAAGUGAAAUCUGGAAAGAUUCCUAUGUUGGCCUCAUGGACAUUAGAGGACUUCCAAGCUGCUGUUACUGAGGACGAAAAAUAUAAAGGAGUGUCAAACAUAAAUAUCAAGCUUAUUUAUGAGGACCAAAUUGAAAGGCUCAAGGAAAAGGAUCUAAAGGAGGCCAAGAAGCGUCAGCGACUGGGUGAUAAUUUUCUGGAUCUACUGUAUUCAAUCAAGGAAAUUACUGCUGCUUCAACAUGGGAUGAUUCUAAAUCACUAUUUGAUGAUACCCAGGAAUACAGGGAUCUGGGUGGCGAGACAUAUGCUAAAGAGCUUUUUGAAGAGUAUAUUGCCCGCCUCAAAGAAAGGCUUAAAGAGAAAGAGCGCAUGAGGGAAGAAGAGAAGGCGAAGAAAGAGAAAGACCGUGAAGAGAGAGACAAGAAGAAAGAGAAGGAAAAGGAAAAGAAGGAGAAAGAUCGCAAAGAAAAAGAAAGAGACCGAGAGAAGGAAAGAGAAAAGGAAAAAGGAAAAGACCGGUCAAGGAGAGAUGAAAUGGAUAUUGAUGAUGAUGUGGAAAUUCAUGCCUCGAAAGAUAAGAAACGAGAGAAGGAUAAAGAAAAGAAGCAUAAAAGGCGCCACCAUGACACCACAGAUUCUGAAAGGGAUGAGAAGGAUGACUCGAGGAAAUCUCGAAGGCAUAGCAGUGAUCGCAAGAAAUCUAGGAAGCACACCCAUGCUUCAGACUCAGAUAGUGAAAACCGGCAUAGAAGACACAAAAAGGAUCGAGAUAGUUCCCGCAAAAAUGGUGGGCAUGAGGAGCUUGAAGACGGUGAACUUGGAGAAGAUGGGGAGAUCCAUUAG